rnacentral:misc_RNA from 1 species
GCAAACUUGGUCAUUUAGAGGAAGUACAAGUCGUAACAAGGUAUCCGUAGGUGAACCUGCGGAUGGAUCAUUAUUGAGUUAGGAUCCAUUUCUGCUAGUACUGUGAACGGUGGUUCCGCCGAGAGGGGGAGCGCCUGGGCGUCGGCUAGCUAGCCUGCUAGGGCCCUGGUAAGAACCAGGCUCUGGCUGGCUGGCUGGCUGGCUGGCCCGAUCAAGGUCAGGCUGCGCGCAGCGUGCCUGACAUGAGCCUAAACGUAGAGUCCUCUUAGACUAAAGUACCUCUUAGAUCUUAGGAACUAAGGACAACUUUUAGCAAUGGAUCUCUUGGCUCUUGCAUCGAUGAAGAACGCAGC